UGCAAGUCGAGCGGACCGACGGGAGCUUGCUCCCUUAGGUCAGCGGCGGACGGGUGAGUAACACGUGGGUAACCUGCCUGUAAGACUGGGAUAACUCCGGGAAACCGGGGCUAAUACCGGAUGCUUGAUUGAACCGCAUGGUUCAAUCAUAAAAGGUGGCUUUUAGCUACCACUUACAGAUGGACCCGCGGCGCAUUAGCUAGUUGGUGAGGUAACGGCUCACCAAGGCGACGAUGCGUAGCCGACCUGAGAGGGUGAUCGGCCACACUGGGACUGAGACACGGCCCAGACUCCUACGGGAGGCAGCAGUAGGGAAUCUUCCGCAAUGGACGAAAGUCUGACGGAGCAACGCCGCGUGAGUGAUGAAGGUUUUCGGAUCGUAAAACUCUGUUGUUAGGGAAGAACAAGUACCGUUCGAAUAGGGCGGUACCUUGACGGUACCUAACCAGAAAGCCACGGCUAACUACGUGCCAGCAGCCGCGGUAAUACGUAGGUGGCAAGCGUUGUCCGGAAUUAUUGGGCGUAAAGCGCGCGCAGGCGGUUUCUUAAGUCUGAUGUGAAAGCCCCCGGCUCAACCGGGGAGGGUCAUUGGAAACUGGGGAACUUGAGUGCAGAAGAGGAGAGUGGAAUUCCACGUGUAGCGGUGAAAUGCGUAGAGAUGUGGAGGAACACCAGUGGCGAAGGCGACUCUCUGGU
rnacentral:rRNA from 1 species